AUUGAACGCUGGCGGCAUGCCUUACACAUGCAAGUCGAACGGUAACAGGUCUUCGGAUGCUGACGAGUGGCGAACGGGUGAGUAAUACAUCGGAACGUGCCCGAUCGUGGGGGAUAACGAAGCGAAAGCUUUGCUAAUACCGCAUAAGAUCUACGGAUGAAAGCAGGGGACCGCAAGGCCUUGCGCGAACGGAGCGGCCGAUGGAAGAUUAGGUAGUUGGUGGGAUAAAAGCUUACCAAGCAGACGAUCUGUAGCUGGUCUGAGAGGACGACCAGACACACUGGGACUGAGACACGGCCCAGACUCCUACGGGAGGCAGCAGUGGGGAAUUUUGGACAAUGGGCGCAAGCCUGAUCCAGCCAUGCCGCGUGCAGGAUGAAGGCCUUCGGGUUGUAAACUGCUUUUGUACGGAACGAAAAGACUCUGGUUAAUACCUGGGGUCCAUGACAGUACCGUAAGAAUAAGCACCGGCUAACUACGUGCCAGCAGCCGCCGCGG
rnacentral:rRNA from 1 species